UGAAACAAUUACAGAAGAAGAAAAAGAAAAGAAAAAAGAAAACGAGGAACCAUAAAACAUUAGUCAAAUUAUUGUAGAAUAUAUGAUCAUCAUGUGAAAUGAAUCAAAAUCAAAGAAAUUCUGUAUGAAGGUUAUGGAUUUGAAAAACUAGUUAUGUAGAAAUGCGAUACACUGGAUAGUGUGAAAAUGUCGUGAGUCUAUUAUUAUUAGAAAGAUAUGAAAGGCAGGGCGCGAGAAAGAGUGUCAGAGAAAUACAAUAACAAGUUAAUAAGGACAUUUUCCUCUGUCGGACGGAUUCUGUAAGGACGCUUUCCUCGGCGUGAAUGAUUUGCAUUUAUUUUUGUCAGGGUUGUCAGGCACUUCCAUAGCUCAGGCCAAUCAUCGCUUCUUAAAUCAUUUCAUUCUUGAACAUAAAUAUAAGGUUAAUAUGCCUGCAAGAUUGGUGAUGGCAUUGGAGAGAGCCAAAGCUGAAGACACUCCUUUGCCCGAGCCCGACAUGUCUUCGCCGAGAAGCAGCUUCGCGAACCUCUCCUUCAUCAACUCCAUAUCUAAGAAAGGAAAAAAAAAUAAAGCCUUUUUAACUAAAAUUUUUUCGGUUAACUUGGAUAGAAACACUCACAUAAUUGCCAUAUGAAAAUUGCGAAAGUCGGUUAUUGAUUUGAUGGAUGAAUAGAACCGAAUUGAUAAGACUACAACAAUCUAAAGGUUCGAGACCAAAGUGGAACUACGCGAAGCCUCAUCAUAUAUAACAAUUAAAAGGUCAUCACUAUGUCAUCGAAUUCGCCAUUCCUUACCCGAAGGUUGGCUGUUGCCGCCGCCCUCCUUGCCCAACCGCGACUUGGGCCCUCUCUCGGAGGACCGAGAGAGCGGCACGCCGACCUUCUGGGCCUCUGAAGACCUGCUCGGUCCCGUCGGUCCCUCGCUCCUCGAGCUAACCCUGUCGUCUGCGGCCUCCAACGAUCCCUGACUCUCCAGAAUCACGCUCCGAGACCUUCCCGCCAAGUGCUCGAUCACCAUUCCACAGCGAAAGAACCUCUCUAGACUGAAACCUCUCUUCAGGAACCGAACCAUCACAUGCGGCAAAUCGCCUCAGCUUAAGUCGAGAAACGCGGGGUGAGGCAUGUUGAAGCGAUUUUUGAUGUAGUGCAAGGAAAUGGAAAGGAAUGUAGUGUUGGUUGAGGAGGGGAAACCUCACCUCUCCAAUGAGGCAAGGGAGAGGGAGGGGAGGGGGAGGAGGGGGAAGUGCUUCUAAAUGAGAAAGAAACAAAACAAGGGCCCUUCUCUAUAGACCAAAAAAGCCAUGCAAAGGUGUGUGUUUAUUUUGGGAACUAAGACAAUUUUUUGGGGGUAAAUUGCACCACUAGUUCCUAGAUCAAAUUUCAUUCUAGUCCUCGAACUUUUAAUUUCAACAUUCGAAGACCCUGAACCUUUAAUAAGGUUAUAUUAAAUAGUUAUUAUCUGCACCUAGUUCAACUAAGUAUUCGUAUAUACAUCGUGAAUUUAUCUUUUCAUUUUUCGUCCUAUAUUUUCAAUUCAAAAGCCUGACUUUUUACGUACAGAAAAUAAUUACAUAAAUCAAUAAUUGAUAAGUACAUGGUACAUAAAUCUAUAGAUGCAUUAGAUAUAGGCAAUAACUUAUCCUCUAAUAGCAAAUAUAAACAAGGGCAAAAAUGAAACUCUUUAAAAAAGUUCAGGGACCACAAACUGCCGAAUUCGACAGUUUGAGGACCAAAAUGAAACUUGUUGUAUUUGUACUAUUGGGUGGUGGUAUUUGAGUGACUCUUCUCUCUCUCUCUAUUUUUUUUUUCUUUACACCUAAUUUAUUUUUUUUUUCCUAUUUUUUAUAUGGAAAAAUUCUAGGGGGGAAAUGUGGGGUGCAUGUUGAGAGAGGAGGAGAAAGAAAAGGUGAGCUUAUGGAAGGGGUGGCCUUUUUUUGGACCGUUUUCUGUUAUGAGACCAUUUGAGGUUGGUGAAAAGCCCGGGAAAUGUGGGAUGGCAAUAUUCCCCCAUUUCCACCUUCCUCCAUGUGCUUUUGCUUUAGCUUCUUGGUCAGAUCCGAUCCGCUGUCAUGUGUUAGUUUUGUCUGCUUCUUGGUCAGCCCCGAUCCGCUGUCAUGUAUUAGUUUUAUCUUUAUUCAAAGAUUAUUAUCUUUCUCUCUAUGGUUUAAAAAA